UCCAUAUCCUUCUAGUUAUUCAAUAGUAUCCGAUGUCAGCAAUUGUUUCUUGCAUCAAUAAUCCUUUUUUUUUUCCUCUCGCAAAAUCCUUGUCUGUACUAUAAAUGCAAUUGUAACAUUAAUCCCUCCCUUUUUCUUUUAGGAAAUCCCUCUGUUCAAGUUAGGCUUAUGUUGCUUAGAAAACAGGGUUCCACUCUGGAGUGAUUGCAGUGGUAGUGCGUAAUUUCACAGGAAACAUAG
rnacentral:misc_RNA from 1 species